UUUUUUGAGAUGUUUGAUGCCACGUAAUAAAACAUCUACAAAAGUUCUACGGCAAAAAUUUUUUUUUGCUUUAUUGCAAAUCACUUAAAAUUAAAUAGUUUCAUUUUUCAGAAGAAUUAUUAGUUGGUUGGUACAUAAGAAAAAUGAAAGCCAUGAAGUUUACUAUCAAGCGAACUUGGUGUCAACCGACGGACCACUCAAGCAGCUGGUACUUCUGCAUAAUGAUAACAAAAAAAUGUUGUUCCUGCACAAAUGCUUCUUAAAUCUU